UACAGGGGGUGCAAACGUUGCUCGGAAUCAUUGGGCGUAAAGCGCGCGUAGGCGGCCACUUAAGUCGGAUGUGAAAGCCCUUGGCUCAACUGAGGAAGUGCACCCGAAACUGAAUGGCUUGAGUACUAAAGAGGGUCGCGGAAUUCCCGGUGUAGAGGUGAAAUUCGUAGAUAUCGGGAGGAACACCGGUGGCGAAGGCGGCGACCUGGGUAGAUACUGACGCUGAGGCGCGAAAGCGUGGGGAGCAAACAGG
rnacentral:rRNA from 1 species